rfam:Schistosoma mansoni, Puerto Rico, WGS project CABG01000000 data, contig: 0201
AUCCCGCUGACGAGUCCCGAAUAGAAUGGAACGCGCGUCUUGGAU